AACGAACGCUGGCGGCAGGCCUAACACAUGCAAGUCGAACGUGAAGCCAGAACUUGCUCUGGUGGAAAGUGGCAGACGGGUGAGUAACGCGUGGGAACCUACCCAGUGGUACGGAAUAACUCAGGGAAACUUGUGCUAAUACCGUAUGUGCCCUUUGGGGGAAAGAUUUAUCGCCAUUGGAUGGGCCCGCGUUGGAUUAGCUUGUUGGUGAGGUAACGGCUCACCAAGGCGACGAUCCAUAGCUGGUCUGAGAGGAUGAUCAGCCACACUGGGACUGAGACACGGCCCAGACUCCUACGGGAGGCAGCAGUGGGGAAUAUUGCACAAUGGGCGCAAGCCUGAUGCAGCCAUGCCGCGUGAGUGAUGAAGGCCUUAGGGUUGUAAACCCCUUUCAGGAGGGAAGAAAUUGACGGUACCUCCACAAGAAGCACCGGCCAACUACGUG
rnacentral:rRNA from 1 species